UACAUGGGGUGCAAACGUUGCUCGGAAUUAUUGGGCGUAAAGCGCACGUAGGUGGUCUGUUAUGUCAGAUGUGAAAGCCCUCGGCUUAACUGAGGAAGUGCACCUGAAACUGGCAGGCUUGAGUACGAAAGAGGGUCGCGGAAUUCCCGGUGUAGAGGUGAAAUUCGUAGAUAUCGGGAGGAACACCGGUGGCGAAGGCGGGUCUCUGGGCCGAUACUGACGCUGAGGAGCGAAAGCGUGGGGAGCGAACAGG
rnacentral:rRNA from 1 species